CUCCUGGAUACAGCGGCGGACGGGUGAGUAGUGCCUAGGACUCUGCCUGGUAGUGGGGGAUAACGUCCGGAAACGGGCGCUAAUACCGCAUACGUCCUGAGGGAGAAAGUGGGGGAUCUUCGGACCUCACGCUAUCAGAUGACCCUAGGUCGGAUUAGCUAGUUGGUGGGGUAAAGGCCUACCAAGGCGACGAUCCGUAACUG
rnacentral:rRNA from 1 species